AGAGUUUGAUCCUGGCUCAGGACGAACGCUGGCGGCGCGCCUAACACAUGCAAGUCGAACGGAGUCAAGAGGAGCUUGCUUUUCUUGACUUAGUGGCGAACGGGUGAGUAACGCGUGAGUAACCUGCCCUGGAGUGGGGGACAACAGUUGGAAACGACUGCUAAUACCGCAUAAGCCCACGGAUCCGCAUGGAUCUGCGGGAAAAGGAUUUAUUCGCUUCAGGAUGGACUCGCGUCCAAUUAGCUAGUUGGUGAGGUAACGGCCCACCAAGGCGACGAUUGGUAGCCGGACUGAGAGGUUGAACGGCCACAUUGGGACUGAGACACGGCCCAGACUCCUACGGGAGGCAGCAGUGGGGGAUAUUGCACAAUGGGGGAAACCCUGAUGCAGCGACGCCGCGUGGAGGAAGAAGAUUUUCGGAUUGUAAACUCCUGUCGUUAGGGACGAUAGUGACGGUACCUAACAAGAAAGCACCGGCUAACUACGUGCCAGCAGCCGCGGUAAAACGUAGGGUGCAAGCGUUGUCCGGAAUUACUGGGUGUAAAGGGAGCGCAGGCGGACCGGCAAGUUGGAAGUGAAAACUAUGGGCUCAACCCAUAAAUUGCUUUCAAAACUGCUGGCCUUGAGUAGUGCAGAGGUAGGUGGAAUUCCCGGUGUAGCGGUGGAAUGCGUAGAUAUCGGGAGGAACACCAGUGGCGAAGGCGACCUACUGGGCACCAACUGACGCUGAGGCUCGAAAGCAUGGGUAGCAAACAGGAUUAGAUACCCUGGUAGUCCACGCCGUAAACGAUGAGCACUAGAUGUUGGUCCCGAAGGGAUCAGUGUCGCAGUUAACGCAAUAAGUGCUCCGCCUGGGGAGUACGCUCGCAAGAGUAAAACUCAAAGGAAUUGACGGGGACCCGCACAAGCAGCGGAGCAUGUGGUUUAAUUCGAAGCAACGCGAAGAACCUUACCAGGGCUUGACAUCCCGAUGACCGUUCCUUAACCGGAACUUCUCUACGGAGCAUCGGUGACAGGUGGUGCAUGGUUGUCGUCAGCUCGUGUCGUGAGAUGUUGGGUUAAGUCCCGCAACGAGCGCAACCCUUGUCGUCAGUUACUAACAUUCAGUUGAGGACUCUGGCGAGACUGCCGAGGUUAACUCGGAGGAAGGUGGGGAUGACGUCAAAUCAUCAUGCCCCUUAUGUUCUGGGCUACACACGUGCUACAAUGGUCGGUACAAUGAGAGGCAAACCUGUGAGGGGGAGCAAAUCACCAAAACCGAUCCCAGUUCGGAUUGUAGGCUGAAACUCGCCUACAUGAAGUUGGAGUUGCUAGUAAUCGCAGAUCAGAAUGCUGCGGUGAAUGCGUUCCCGGGUCUUGUACUCACCGCCCGUCA
rnacentral:rRNA from 1 species